rnacentral:rRNA from 1 species
CCUACGGACGGCUGCAGUGGGGAAUCUUCCGCAAUGGGCGAAAGCCUGACGGAGCAACGCCGCGUGAUCGAAUGAAGGCCUUCGGGUUGUAAAGAUCUGUUGACAGGGACGAAUAAGCCAUGCGAAUAGUUUGGUGUAUGACGGUACCUGUUUAGAAAGCUCCGGCUAACUACGUGCCAGCAGCCGCGGUAAUACGUAGGGAGCAAGCGUUGGCCGGAAUUACUGGGCGUAAAGGGCGCGUAGGUGGGUGCUUAAGUCAGGUGUGAAAACUGUGGGCUCAACCGGGAGACUGCACUUGAAACUGGGUAUCUUGAGGGCAGGAGAGGAAAGUGGAAUUCCUGGUGUAGCGGUGAAAUGCGUAGAUAUUAGGAGGAACACCAGUGGCGAAGGCGACUUUCUGGACUGUACCUGACGCUGAGGCGCGAAAGCGUGGGUAGCGAACGGGAUUAGAUACCCUGGUAGUC